rnacentral:lncRNA from 1 species
GCCACCCUCGAACGGGCAAAAGAAAGAAAGAGGCAGGCAUUCCUCAGGCCUUAUCUCUCUGGUUCUUUCUGCUACAUUUGACACCUUGGGAUGACUCUCACCUUCUGGAAUCUCUCUACUACCUUGGUUUCAGAAGAGUGAACCCUCUGGAUUAUCACAUGAAGCUACUUCCUGUGAGCAGCCCAGGGAUGGCCAGUCACUUGUGACCUACUUUCAGAGCUGGCAGUUCUGACUUCUAGAACAAACUCGGAACAAGCCCAUCUACAGCUGGUUGACUGAGUUUCCUUUGGGCUCCUGGCACCAGAAAGAAUUGCUCACUGGAAGGAUCAUAGGUGGCACUCAUGUCUCACUGCCCCACUCAGAGCAGAGAUGCCUCACUGUGAUAGGUAAAUUAAGGUGAUACUGAUUGCCAGCUCCAGUGUGGAAGUCCCGAGGUGAAGGAAUUUCUUUCAUAAACAUUUCAAAAGUGAGUCGAUCCAGAAUACACCUCCACCAUGAGAUUACCUGUAAUCUAAUUCAACCUAGAAGAUGGAGUCCAAACAGCUUGAGGUUCUGCAGAUUUCACAACAGCAGCCACAAAAUGAAAGUGAAGAAGGCUUUGGCCAGGCACGGUGGCUCACGCCUGUAAUCCCAGCACUUUGGGAGGCCGAGGCGGGUGGAUCAUCUGAAGUCGGGAGUGUGAGACUAGCCUGAUGCACGUGGAGAAACCCCAUCUCUACUAAAAAUACAAAAGUAGCCAGGUGUGGUGGCGCAUUCCUGUAAUCCCAGCUACUCAGGAGGCUGAACCAGGAGAAUCGCUUGAACCCAGGAGGCAGAGGUUGCAGUGAGCUGAGAUCGCGCCAUUGCAUUCCAGCCUGGGCAACAAGAACAAAACUCCAUCUGAAAAAAAAAAAAGAAAGUGAACAAGGCUUUAAGGUGGAGCACACUAGAAACAUCUUGCUAUUUCCACGUGUCUCUUUGUCACUACACUCCUUAAAUACACUUAAAUAGCUCAUAUUAACAACAGACACAACCAAUGUAAAACCUCUUGGGGCUUUAUAAGAAGUUUCCUAAAGUUAAUGCUGUAGAUUCCUCAUGAUCAUUUCAAAACUAAUGUGAUUUCUUUAGGGUACCUUUAAUUACACUUAUGACCUUGGUUUCAUUUUAAAAAUAUACAUACAUUUAAAGAAGACUGAGGACCCUAAGGAUCUCAAAUAUCCCUUCGACGGGUACCUAAUAGCUGUUUUUGAUUCCUGAGAUACUUGGUUUUAUCUCUCCUUUAGAAACAAAAAUUAUGCUCAGCUGUAACCUCGUCCAGCUCUACCAACUCAGAUAUUCACAGGCUGAUUUCAAGCUCCAAGAGAAAAAGUAGAGUCACGUUUACCUUUUUAUCCCCAACAACAUGUAGCCAUGUUCCCUCCCUAGUUCUGCAUCCUCAGAUCAACCAACCAGGGAUCAAAAAUAUUUAUGAAAAAAAUAACAAUAAAACAAUAAAAAAUACAGUUGACCCUUAAACAGUGUGGGUGUUGAGGGAGCCAGCCGCCAUGCAUUAAAAACUCUGAGUAUAAGUUUCAACACUCAGGCCUGGCGAGGUGGCUCACGCCUGGAAUCCCAGCACUUUGGAAGGCCAAGGCAGACAGAUCACCUGAGGUCAGGAGUUUGAGACUAGCCUGGCCAACGUGAUGAAACCCCAUCUCUACUAAAAAUACAAAAACUAGCCAGGCACCUGUAAUCCCAGCUACUCUGGAGGCUGAGGCAAGAGAAUCGUUUGAACCCAGGAGGCGGAAGUUGCAGUGAGCCGAGAUGAUGCCACUGCACUCCGCACUGGACAACAGAGUGAGACUCUGUCUCAAAAUAAAUACAUUAAUUAAUAAUAAAUAAAAAGUACAAAAAAUUAGCUGGGUGUGGUGGCACACACCUGUGGUACCAACUACUUGGUAGGCUAAGGUGAGAGGAGUGCUUGAGCCCAGGAGAUCAAGGUUGCAUCGAGUCGAGAUCGAACCAUUACACUCUGGCCUUGGCAACAGAGUGACGCCCUGUCUCAAAAAAAAAAAAAAUGUUGACUCCCUAAAAACAUGACUGCUAAUAGUCUACUGUUGACCAGAAGCCUUACCAAUAACAUAGUCAAAUAACACAUAGACUAGUAUCUACAUAUAUUUUAUGCAUUCAAGACAUACCUAACAUUUCUUAAUUUUUGCCAUAUUUCUAGUCUAUGUGGUUCACCUGCAAGAUUUUUCAAAUUGUUGCCAAUUUGAAAAAGGAAAAAAAAAAAAAAAAGACCAUCACAUUCCUGAAAUACCUACUUUGGAACUUUGGAGGUGGCUUCUUACAUAUGUGUAUUUAUUUUCUUUCCCUGUUUUUCACAGAAAGGAACUAAUAGAAAAUAUUUCUUUAUGUAUUGAGUUUAUUUAGAACUGUUCACAUCCUCUGCCCUAGAUAGUUCAAUUAUGGAAAGCAAUCCUAAUUAUAACAUAACCUAGAUACCCAAGAACAAAUUCCCAUUCCCACAUUACAGAUGAAGAAGUCCAAACACAAACAACUUGUCCAAAGUCACAUAGCUGGGUAAACUGAAGAACAUGGUGUUGCUCCAAAGCCAUUUCUACUAACUACGACCCUAUACAAAAAUCUAAAACAGAAAAUUCUGCUUACAUGGAGAUGUUCACACAUAUAUAUUUCUUUUCUUUUUAGAGAUGAGGUUUCUCCAUGUUGCCCAGGCUGGUCUCAAACUCCUGGCUCAAGUGAUCCAUCUGCCUUGGCCUCCCAAAGUGCUGGGAUUACAGGCAUUAGCCUGGCCGAUAUCAUUAAUAAUGGGAAAAAAAUGGAGGGGAGGAUAUCUAAAGCUCUAAAAUAUCAGCAAAUAUUCAGAAAUAUCUAAAAUAUUCAGCAAAACUGGGAUAUUAUUUAUAACACAUCCAAAUGAUGGGGGUACUAUGCAAACAUUUAAUAACGUAUUUACAAAGGAAGGAAAUAAAGAUUAGAGUAGAAAUAAAUUAGAGAAUAAAAAAAGCACCAGAGGAAAUCAAUGUAACCAAAACUUGAUUCUUGGAAAAUAUCAACAAAAUUGACAAACGUUUAACUAAACUGACCAAAAAUUAGAGAGAAGACUCAAAUUACUUACAUCAAAAAUGAAAGGGGCUGGGCGCGGUGGCUCACGCCUAUAAUCCCAGCACUUUGGGAGGCCGAGGCGGGCGGAUCACGAGGUCCGGAAAUUGAAACUAUCCUGGCUAACAUGGUGAAACCCCGUCUCUACUAAAAA